UUUGAAAAACUCAUGUUUGAAUUUGUCAAUGAGCUCAUAAUUGUCUGACUUGUUGAGGAGGGCAGAUCCUGAAAACUCCCAGAAGUCAACAUCCCAAAAUGAGAAGGUACAUUGAGUGGCUGGCGUAAGUGGGCAAGGUUGUCAGAUAAUUCUCCACCCCAAGCUUCUGGAGGAGUGAUAGAAGAUUCUUCACUUUUUGAAGAUGGAGUAGGAGUAGAUCCUCCCAAUGGUGACAAAGAUCUGGUCUCAUCCUGUUUGGAAGUUGAACUGGUUUUCCAAUCAAAUGUUGGAUGAUCAUUUGUCCCAUCUUCUGCAAAAGGAAAUCUUCUACCAGCUGAAGGAAACAACAAAGAUGAGGGCUUCAUAUCAAUUGACAGAUUACCUUUUUUUAUUCCCUCAUGAUCAUCCCAGAGCUUAUUAAGUGAGGAUGUGAUAGGCUGGACAUCAACAAGUGGGGAAAAUACUUCCAUGUCAUCCUUAAAAUUAUAACUUGUACGAGGAGCAUGUAAUCUUGCCAAUGUUCCACUUGGCCACAAAUGGCUCCGAUGUGGUGUUUCCUCAGCAAAUGAAGGCAUACUUGAUGCAGAUCCACUAUUGGUUGAUGUAAGAGAUGAUGCUCCUACAGAAAGACCAGAACGGCCAAGAUUGCGAGAACUCAACACUGCAGUAGAUAGUGAAACACUUGAUGACGUCACAGAGGGAAGGGGGUCAGGCAUAAGAAUGGAAUCUUCAACAGCACCUCCCAGAAGAGCUGUCUCAGCAGUGCAGGUACUCCCAUUUACAACAACUGGCUUUGAUCUUUGCCAGCACAAACUUGUAACAGCCUCUGAAGUGCUAUAAGCACGAAGAACAGUGAAAGGCUGUGGUUUUCCACGAACAUCAUAGAA
rnacentral:misc_RNA from 1 species